AUCCUUACUUGUUGUUAAGGUACCUUCGCUUUCACCUCUCUUAUUUUAUUUUUACUAUCAUCUUCAUAGUGAAUUGUAAGCUCCACAAUUCACUUUUUGGCUAAUAAAUUUUAAGUUUAACUUUUAACCUUUAAUAUUCUCACUUUAACUUUUAAAUUAAACUUUUAACUUUUAAUUUUUAACUUAACCUUUUAAUUUAACUUUUAACUUAACUUUUUUUACUUAACCUUUUAAUUUUAACUUUUAAUUUAACCUUUUAAUCUUAAUUUUUAACUUUAAAUUUUUUUAACUUAACUUUUAUCUUUGCUUUUAAUUCAAACUUAAGUUUUUAUUCUUACAGUCAAUUAAUAGUAAUAAUUUAAUUAAUUAUUUUCAUUGUGGUUGCAUAGUAAAUUUCAUUUAACAUAUAAAUUUAAUAUUGGUAACCAUUGCAUGGAAGGCCUAAAACUAAUUGAAUUUUUAAUAUAAAUAUUUAAAUUAAUCUAAAAUUGGGAGCUCUCCAAUUCCACUUCUUGGACUUGUUGUGUGGCAUAGGUUUUAUCAAGUGGUGAAAUUUGGCCUCACACUUAUCAAAAUAACAAUGGAUAAUUAUAUGGAUCUAAGCCAAACUUACAUACAAUCUAUAGAAGAAGUUGGAUAAGAUAAAAAAAAAUGCAUGUAGGAUCUUUACAGAGAAUAAAGUUGGUAGCAUAGAGUCAAUUGAUAAAAACUUAUUUCUUUUGUUGAUUCAGAACAUUGUAGAGAAUUUAGAAUUGGCUCCAAAUUCUACUAUUGAAUUUUUUAAAAUUAAUGUAAAUGUCUCUAAUUUGAAGUUGGUAG
rnacentral:lncRNA from 1 species